GUAAUACAUGGGAGGGGUACAUAUUUAUUUCGCCCCUCUAUCUAUAUGCUGCAAGAAGUUGAAUGGGUCCAGUCUCUCUGCCACACACAUUGGAAAUGUACAUACGGUGAAAAGAAUGUGAGUUUCUAUUGCAUAUUAUGGAGUACAUGGUGGGUAUGCAUAGUGCUUCUUUUCAUUGUGUAAUGAUUAAGUAACCCAGAUUAGCUUUGCUUCUGCUUAAAUGUAUGAGUGUGCCUGACAUUGCACAAAUAGAUGGAUACAGUCUGUGCACCUAAUGAUGGUCAUUCUUUAGUUUAGUUUAGAUAACAACUAACUGGAGACAUUUGCCAUUUAUAGGUUUUUUAAAAAUAAUAUCUCCUGACGUUUUGCAUUAUCCCAUUGCCAUUAUGAGUUUUAAAAUGUGACUGAUUCACUUGCUCUGAUAGUGAGACAGUCAGCAGGAAUGUUCUACCCAUAUUGAUCUCAACAUCUGCUCUCCCCACUUGAAAUAGGCUCUGUCAUCUCAGUCAAACCUUCCCCAAUCCUAGCUCAGAAAACUGUAGUUUGUAGACCAAGACAAUCAUUCACUCGGCUGCUUUGGUGCCCAUGUUUAAUGGGUAUGCAUCUGGAGACCCAAAUAUUCCCAUGCAUUCACUUGCAUAACGGACAUGAGCAAUGUUCUAGGAUAAAGAUCAUGAAUGACGGCAUAUUUUUCUUGUGUGUUUCAGCAAACUGGCUAUUACAAAGUAAUAUGUUACUUUGUAAAUAAGUAAUUGAUCCAGACUUGGCUACACACACACAAAACAAACACAAACAAACAAACAAACAAACAAACAAACAAACAAACAUGUUUGAUUUGCUUAACCUAGCAAUAUGGACCAGAUUUUGACUUAGAUAUAUAUAACUGUUAAAUCACUGAAGCAAUCCAGUUUUAUAUCUCUAGAGCAUUUAUGUAAGAGCAAUAUAGGGCAAAAUUGAAACUUUAUGGUGAGCUGAGGGUUAGAUCACUCUGUCAGCCACCAUGAUGACCAUCUUGUCCCCUACUGUUUUUCAUUGUUGCAAAACUGAGUUUAAGGGACCUUUGAUGAGCUAACCAGUGGACAAUUAAUGCUUUUUAAAAGGUGUGUGUGUGUCCCCUGCUUUUUAAGAAUUAGUUCUUCAUACCACUACCUUCUGUUUACUCAGAAGUAAGUCCCAUUGAAUUUAGUGGUUCUUACUCCCUUGUAAACAUGGGAUUUGACUCCUAAUCAGUUUAAUACUGAAACUUUGUUCAGUGCUUUUUCCUCUCCACUCAAGACAACAUUUAUGGUGAGGACCACUGAGAUGCUUCCCAUUAAUAUAAGCGUAUUAAUGUGAUAUAAUGAAACUCCAUUCUGUUGCUUAGAACAUCCUUCUUAACAUAGUCCACAUGAAUGUAAUGUGAAAUUAGGUGGGAGGUGGCGCAACCACAUGAUACCCAUAACAUUUUCUAUUGGAUAAGUUUUGUACUGUUUCCUUUUUGUCAUGUGACUUGAUCUUAACUUCCAGUCACUCACACCUUGGUCCAUAUUUAGUCAUUUUUGCUUGGUGAUCCUGUCAUAGUUGUGGUAUUCUACUUUAAUAUCAGAUUUUCAUCUUUCUUGCCCAUACCAGUAUGUUGGUAUCAACCAGCCUUAAUUAGAUGUUAUGCAGCUAAAUUAACAAAUGCUUAUAAAGCACCUUGCAAAGGUCCUGAAGAAAUGAGGGCUACACAAAUACGGAAUGUUGCUUCAUGUCCAGCAUUAUAUCUUUACCAGAAGCCUUCUUUGUGGUUGGCAGUUAUAUUUAAUCUCCCUUUAACCGAUGUUAGAAAUAAAAUGAGGAUAUAAAAACAGUCCCUGUCACUAUUAUCUCUGAAAGUCUUUGACCUUCUCUAACAUACCUGGCUGCAAUCAUAUACGCAUUUACCUGUGGUACUCUGUGGUACUUACUUCUGAGUAGGCCUGUAUAGGAUUGCACUUUAAUAUGUUAUUUUAAAUAGGGGACUGUUGUGUUGCUGCUGAAUAUGCACAUCAUUGUAAUAACAUGGAUCUUAUUAGAGCAACCCCAGGGUCUGUACUUGUUGAGCUGCCCCAUGAGAAACGUAUGAAUUAGAUCUAUGAAUUAUAAUAUUCAGAAUUUGCUGCUUUUUUGCUUUUGCUAAAAGCUCUGAUCUACUUUGUUCCAUGUAGAGUUUCUUCUGUUUCUGAAACCAUAUUUUGGCUCUUAGAAACAACUUGGUACCAUGUUGAAUGGAAUGAGGUGUCUUUGUGAACACAUCUUCCACCACUAACAGAUUGUAUAAUAGUCUGUUUUAUGGUAGUGCCUUCAAAUCUCAGGGCAAAUUCACAAGGCUAUGCUUAUCUUGUGAUAACAGCAGUGAUUAUGACAGCUUGCUUGUUUGGACGGAUAUCACAGCUCAGCUCUCCUGGACAGGACUUCUUUAUCACAUGAACAAAGUGCAUUUAACUGAAAGGAAGCAUUAUCAAGCAAUAAUCACUUAACUGCUACCACUUCAAUUAAGGGUAUGACUUUGCAUGCAGAAUUCAGUAGAAUUGAGGACAUGCUUCAGUCUAAAUAGUCUCUUUUUAUGGGCCUAAUCUCAUGAUCUUCUGGGCAUGGUCUUCAAUAGUCACUCUGUCUGUCUGUGUAUCUCUCUCAUACACACAAACCCUCCCCUGUGUUGACUCCAUGUGAAUCCUGCAUCAUAUGAAGGAUUUGCUUUUGGCAUGUUACUUACAAUCAAAUUGUGGGGUAUUCAGCAGUACAUGAAAAGUGGAAUAUUAUGCAACAGAUGCACAUGACAGGCUCAUCAUGGGUUGAACCAUUUGAGAGCCAUUGUGGUUCUUCCUGAGACUAUUCUGCACAAAUAAGGUAAUUAAGUAGUAUCAUGGUCUACCCAUAUCACUCAAUUCUCUUUCACUCAUCUUUCCAAAAUCUAAUCUUUCUUUUGCAUUUGGUCAAAGUCUAGCUGAAGCAAUAUGUUUGGUUGAUUUGUCUUUUUGCAUCGCUUCCUCAUAUUGCUAAAUUUUUAUUAAAUGUCAUUUCACUGAAUCCCAAGGUUCCAAAAAACUGACCUUGUGUGCAAAGGCAUUAAAGGUGUAUUUUCCACUUUAAAUGUAAGCCACCACAGGAAUUAGCAAAGGAUUGUGCAGCAGGAGCGUCAUUUACAUUUUAGUGUUUGUGUAUGUUUCAGUUGGGAGAGGGCAAAAUUUAGCAAAACCCAAGAAGUCUCUCUUAUGGAUAAAUUCAGGGAUCAGGGUUAAAUUGUAAAAAGUCUGUGUAUUAUAGAAUCAUUUGUCAUGGUUCUUCUUUCUUUCCUUUUUUUAAAGAAACUGCAAUAGCUGUAGCAUUAUCAAUGCAGGACAAGCCCCACUCCUCCACUUUUAUUCAGCAAAAGAAUCUCUGCCUUCUGCGUGCAUACCUACCAUGCAGGAACAUUUAAUUGUAUCAUAGAAUAGUCAAUCUUGGUAUGCAGUAUUAAGUAAACUGCCUAGAUGAAAGAUCCCCCUGAGUAUGCUCUAAAACCUCUCUCACACACCCUUCUCCACCUUUCCUAAAUAGCACCCUUUCAUUUGCAGAACUCUCUGGGAUCUGAGGAGACAUUCAGAUCAUGCCAUUUUCUUUUCUGCCAUUAUUGUGGUAGAAGUUCUUUUGUCCCUAAUGAAGUUACUCCUCGUGUUUGUCUGUGUUAACUGGGAUCAGAACCUGGCCCUGAGUCUUUGGGCUUCAGCUGCUGUUGUGGAUAAUGCAUUGCUAUUUGCGUGGCAAUAUCCAACCAAACUCAUAUGGCUUUCUUCCUUUUUUAAUUAAGUCGAAUGCCAGCAGCCCAAUGAAGUUUGCACUCCUGGAUAAAAGGGCUGGUCUGUGCCUAGCAUUGUAUUUGCCAAAUGGUUCGCUAGUCAUUUCAGUACAAACAAAUGGAUGGUGUCAGUAAGUCUGCAAACACUGUUGACAUUUAGCCUUGUUUAUGUUACUUUCCUUUUGCUGCACAUUUUUGGCUCAAAAAGCUACUGUCGGAAUCAACAGUGACUUCCUAAGCAGAAGCUAAGGGCCCAGCCUCUUCUAAGCCUCACCCCUGGGACCACUUGCAUUAUUAAGUGUGGAGGCUUUGACUUGGGGAACUUAUGCUCAAUAUGUCAUUUGGCUAUCUAGAAUUACAAUAAAAUUAGUCUCCAAAUUUGUAGAAAAACAGAGACCAAGACAAUAUAUAUAUACAUUGUUUGUUAUUUCUAGUUCUGUUUUGUUUUUUUCCAACUCUGAACUAAAGCUGUGGGAGGGUGACUGGAAAAGCAAGCCGUUGUAUUGCGGCUUCUAAGGAUGCAUAUUCUGAAUCACUUAAUGCAGAUUAGGCUCCCUUGAACUUUCACCACCCUCUUGCCAUUUAGAAUCAGGGUGCUGAAGAGCAAUGAAAAGCUGAUUCUCCUCACACUUUCCAUGGUGAGCUUACUCUUGCCUUUUCGUUUUAGUGAUUAUAAGUACACAAAUAUGGAUAAUAAUUAUUCCAGAUUAAUUAAGCAGGAGGCAUGAACUUGUGUGCAAGUGACAAAGCUCUUCCGUUAGGCCAUAGAUCACAGAGAAGUAAUUCUGGCUCUUUCUAUCCCUGGCACCUGCUGGUUCUGCCAGUUCUAGAAAUCCUCCUGAUACUACUUGCCUCUGGGGCCUGUCCAACACCGACUUAGAUUUCACUGGGCUGAAUUGUAUCUGGCUGUGUGGCAUUGUGUCCAACAUCUUCAGCAAAUUAAGAAAAUGAACCAUAGUGACUGGGUUUAAUUUAAAUAAAUACCAUGAUGUUUAAAGAGAGGUAGGAAAGAGAAAGUUAAAGCAGGCAAGAUAGGUGCAAGGUGCACCCUGACACUUUUCUUAUUUUUAUGGUUUUGGAAUGUGACAUGGCUGGCGUGUUCCUUGUUGCUUUCUUAAUACGUUCCACGUUCUAUCUUCAAGUGUCUUCAAAAUGAAGGACAUCUGGCAAUUAUAAUUCAAGUGUAUUUAAAAUUCAGAAACCUACAGCCUGGACUUUGGUCUGCUCUGCUGUCCUCUAAUAUACCUACAAGUAUUUGCCAUGUACUCAAACCAUGGUUUCAGUCUCACUUAGCGUACAAAACUACCAUAACAUAAAUGGGUAGACUGUAAUCUGGCACAGUUACUUGUGUAGAAUUCCCAUUGACAUCAGUAGGACUUGCACAUAAGAGAGUGCAGAACUGCAGCCACGAACCAGUCCUGUGCUGUUGUUUUUAGUCAUAAUUUUGCACCUUAAAAAAGAAAGAUAUACACAAAUAAGAACAAUUUUUGUCUUUCACAUAUCAGUAUUUUGGAUAUUCUUUUAUUAUUGUAAAAAAAAAGUGUAAUCUUGUUGAAUUUCUGAAUCUGCUGCUUUUCUGCUCAUGUUCCUAGAUAAUUAUAUCACUGGGGGUAAAUGUAAUUACCUGUUGCUCUGUUAACUCUUUAAAGCAAAGAGGAAUUUCUAUAUAUUUGUCAAAGUGUAGGAAUCGAUAUGUGUGUUCACUAUAAUCUGUUUAUCGCAGCAAUACAAAAAUCAAAGGCUUUGUAAUAUGUUUUGUUAUGUAGGCAUAUGAGUCUAGAGAAUGGACUGCCUUCGAAGUGGAAACUUCCUUUUAAAAAGAUUACUUAAUUGUCAUUUCUACUUGAGUUUUAAAUAGUUUCAAAUUUUGUAAUACUUUAGGAGGGGAAGAAUUACUGUAGUUAUCUUUUUUCAUAUUCUUUUGAGAAAUGCUUCCAGUUUAAUAUGUUGUACCAGUUUUCCUCUUCUUCAAUAUUAACCAAGAAAUGACAGUGAAAUUCAAUGAACAACACUCUUGACAGCCACAGUUUUAAAAAAACCUGUGAUUGAAGUGAAAUGUGUAAACUUCUGCUGGGUUAUCAUGUGCUUUGAAAUAGAGUAUUGUUGGAAGUAAUUAGAAAAUAUAUUAAGGUUUCCUGGUAAUGAAGGCAUGUAAGUUUUAAUAAUUGUUGCUUUCUGAAUAAGUGUCACACUUUAUCUUUAAAUGUAUAUGGAGUUCCAAGUUAGGUCAUUUCUGAAUGGAAUGUAAAACAAUACUAAAAACAAUGCUUCAAUAACUUAUCUUGGUGUUGCUAAUAAAAUUAAAAAGCUGUUAACCAUU